rnacentral:rRNA from 1 species
GACGAACGCUGGCGGCGUGCUUAACACAUGCAAGUCGAACGGAAAGGCCCUGCUUUUGUGGGGUGCUCGAGUGGCGAACGGGUGAGUAACACGUGAGUAACCUGCCCUUGACUUUGGGAUAACUUCAGGAAACUGGGGCUAAUACCGGAUAGGAGCUCCUGCUGCAUGGUGGGGGUUGGAAAGUUUCGGCGGUUGGGGCUGGACUCGCGGCUUAUCAGCUUGUUGGUGGGGUAGUGGCUUACCAAGGCUUUGACGGGUAGCCGGCACUAGAGGGUAGCCGGCCUCAAUGGGACUAAGAGACGGACCAGAAUGCAACGGGAGGCAGCGGUGGGGAAUAUUGCACAAUGGGCGGAAGUGUGAGACAGCAACGCUGCGUGCGUGAUGACGGCCUUUGGGUUGUAAACCGCUUUCGCCUGUGACGAAGCGUUAGUGACGGUAAUGGGUAAAGAAGCACCGGCUAACUACGUG